rnacentral:misc_RNA from 1 species
AAAGUAAAUAUGUAUUCUCUCGAAUAUACAUUUUCAAACCCAUCUGCGUACGUUACCCGUUGCUUCCGCGAGGCAGUGAUCCCGGUCACCUCCAGACGAUGCCGAAAGGCCAUCCGACGGGGAGCACUCGCGAAAGGUAUACAUCAAACCCUUGCAAUUUCAUGCCAUCUGUCUGAACCUGUUUAUAACAAAUGUUUA